rnacentral:lncRNA from 1 species
GUUCCUUUCUCCAGCGCCACCUGGGCACAGAACCCGCUCGGAGGUGGCCUCCUGGUGGCUGGAACGUGCUUUCGCCUGCGGGGCCCAGUGUCCGGACCCCACUGGAUCUGUGGAAAAAAACCAAAGUUGCGAAGCGCUGGAGCCCGUGCAGCAACCGGACAGCAGAAUGAACUCCGCUGCUUUUCUAUGUUGGCUGAGAGAAGGGCGGGAGACUUGCCUCGUAAGGCGCGGCGAAGGGGUGGGAGGGCCCUACCUGCAGCACUCAGACGCUUAGGAUGUGUUUCAAGAAGGCUGCAGAGAGAGGAGGCAAGAGGGGCUUCAGAAGCAGGCCUUUGGAUAAUACAUCUGACUCUAGAGACUCACCACCACUUUGGAGAGAUCGACUGGAGGCUCCUGGGUUUUCUGAGGGGCCUGGGGGACAGCUGGCUCAGCUUUGGUCUUGGCUGGAGGAGCCCCUGCUGCUGCUGGCUUAGCAGCAGGUUUGGAGAUGGAGGGCCCUGCUGGUUUCUUCACGGGAACAUCCUUCUUGGGAGGCAUGAUGUCCGGUGGCCAAAGGACAGUGUGCGGAUGGGGGC